rnacentral:rRNA from 1 species
AACGCUAGCUACAGGCUUAACACAUGCAAGUCGAGGGGAAACGAUAUUGGAAGCUUGCUUCCGAUAGGCGUCGACCGGCGCACGGGUGAGUAACGCGUAUCCAACCUGCCUACCACUUGGGGAUAACCUUGCGAAAGUAAGACUAAUACCCAAUGAUAUCUCUAGAAGACAUCUGAAAGAGAUUAAAGAUUUAUCGGUGAUGGAUGGGGAUGCGUCUGAUUAGCUUGUUGGCGGGGUAACGGCCCACCAAGGCAACGAUCAGUAGGGGUUCUGAGAGGAAGGUCCCCCACAUUGGAACUGAGACACGGUCCAAACUCCUACGGGAGGCAGCAGUGAGGAAUAUUGGUCAAUGGACGAGAGUCUGAACCAGCCAAGUAGCGUGCAGGAAGACGGCCCUAUGGGUUGUAAACUGCUUUUAUAAGGGAAUAAAGUGAGUCUCGUGAGACUUUUUGCAUGUACCUUAUGAAUAAGGACCGGCUAAUUCCGUGCCAGCAGCCGCGGUAAUACGGAAGGUCCGGGCGUUAUCCGGAUUUAUUGGGUUUAAAGGGAGCGUAGGCCGGAGAUUAAGCGUGUUGUGAAAUGUAGAUGCUCAACAUCUGAACUGCAGCGCGAACUGGUUUCCUUGAGUACGCACAAAGUGGGCGGAAUUCGUGGUGUAGCGGUGAAAUGCUUAGAUAUCACGAAGAACUCCGAUUG